AUUUUUUUUCAGGUCUUCCGACUCAGUGAUGACAGCAGGAUUUUGUUGGAAUGCCCCACACGGGUCAGGAUUUUACUAUGAAUAUACUUACACAAUGCCUCUCCCAUGAAGGAGAAAAGAACAUUGAACAUAAGGAGCAAGAAAGUUUAACGACAAAUGCAAGUUUUCUUUUCCUUCUUCAUUGAGGAUAAAAAGUAAAUUUUCCAAAUCUUAACUAUAUUUUCCAGGAAAGUCUCUUUUAUUCUGCGUUUUCUAGUUUGGAAUUCAAGAUGUAGAAAGUGGUGCUAUCUCACCUUAAAUCACGCCUGUGGGCCUCUGGUAGACCUGGUGUUCACUGGAAACUGAAGUGUCAGCGACUGGAAAUGGAGUGACCAUCUCUUCCUGGUCUACCUUCCCAGCUUUAGCACUGACAGUCCCGUGCCCCAGAAACCCCUCAGUCUCAGGCAGCCGGGGGUGGCUGCUGGCCCUGCUGGAAAUCCCCAAGGCUGCAGCCACAGCAAGGCUAGAGAUAGGAGCAGACUCUCUUUCCACGGAAAAGAAUAAUAGAAACUACCAGGCGGGGUCAUCGGAGGGUGAAGUCAGAACGUCUGUAUCAAGGACUAACAAGGCCCCUGUCACGUCCAACCCCGUCAAAGGCUCUAGAGGGAGAGCUCACAGCAGCAUGACACAGUCACACCCCAAAACGGCUCUUUCUUCGGCGGCACAGUUUCAAUGGAAAGUCAAACUCGGAAACUUUACAAACGGGAUCCUAAAUAGGACAUUUUAACACUCCAGUACUUUAGGAUAUAGGCAGUAGAAACAGAAUUGUUUUAAAUCAAGUGAAUUUCUUAGAUUCAUCAGAAGUAUGUGAAUUAGAGUUACAGGACUAUUAAUAAAACAAUUCUAUUCCUCAA